CAAUUUCCUCUAACAUAUGCGGAUAAUAAUAUUUGAGUGACUGGAUUUUUACAUAGAAAUAUACUAUCUGCUACAAAGUAUUCCUCUUCUCCCCAGGCAUACCACCAUCCACGUCGGAGUCCCGACCCAGUUUGGACUCAGCCCUAGUGGAAAGGAAUAAGCAUGUUUGGGAGAAGGACCCAUAUCCAGAUGACCGGGACUGGUCCAGGAGCCAGGAACGGAGGACGUUCAAGUUCAAGGUUUUUAUUUUGUCAAAUGAACAACAAACAUGCAGUAGCAGUCUUUGCUGGCAGUGACAUUCCAGUGUUCUAGGCUCUUCUCGACAGUGCAAGUAAGAGUAGAAAGUACAAUUAAAUAAAUACAAUAAAAUAAAGAAAGAAAAUAAAAGAGUGAGAGUGAUAGAUGCGUGAGACCGAGGACAGUGAGGAACGGGAAGAGGAUGCAGAGGACCCUUUGGACGCGAUCGCUGUGAUCGUGAGUUUGUGAACAAGGUUGGGCUGGGUGCGACCCCUAGUGGUCAAUCUUAUCCGUUUUUAUUCUUCAAAUGUACUCCUAUCCAAUAUAUCUUCACAAAAAUAAGUACAAAUGCAGUGCCAGUAGAAAACAAACACAGCACCUUUUACAAAACAUAUUUAUUUUUAUAUAAGGAAAACAGAUUACAGUUGUGCACAGCACAUACGUACAAAAAUAAAGAAAAACAUUUAUAAUAUACUAUUUCACAUACACUUCAUCGUAAUCUUUUGUUUUCAAGACCAAAUGAUGAAGAAGGAUAGAGAAGUCUGCCGUUUCAAACUUUAUUUACAAUCAUCUUAAUAAUCCCAACUAAGGCAGAAGGUGAGGUAUACGCAAGGAGGGCCUCUGACUGCCUCUCCCAGUGCAGGAAUAGAAAACCCAGGUGAAAAGACCACGGCGGUGGGCACACACGCAGACACCAGUCCGAAGAGUUUCAGUCCAGGUGUUACCACAAAGGAGCCAAACUGGCGGCUGAACCGAUCAUUGAUAGAACUGACUGGAACUGGAGUCAAACCAGCUCUUUUUAGAAAUCUUUUCCUCCAAAAUUGACGGGGUUUUAAAAAUAAUCAGCAGAAUGUACUGAUAUACCACUACAUAUUGGAAGAAAACCCCUGUAUCUCUCCAUUGUCCUUUUGUGUCUUUUGUAACAUCCACAACCUUUUGAUUUAUUUUCUGUACACAUAACAUCAUAACAUAUUACAGCAUGACCCAGAAACCAUAUUGCCCACACAUUAAUACAAAUCACAUUGGGGAUUUUUCUUCUCUCGUGAUCAUGAAUGGAAAAUAAUAUUCAUCAAGCAUGAUUACACAUUGUCCAACAGAACCGAUCCCUGGAUGUGCAUCAUUUCCUGGACAAUGACAUCAGACGUCAUUGUGGUAUUCACUCCUAUUUUAAGAGUUGUGAAACACAGUUUUCAGUCUCUCACUCCGCCAUUCCUGGAAGUGUUUGAAUAUAUCUGACUAAGUAUUUUGCUACAUCCUCUUUCAUCCUCCUAUGUAUAUGAGGCCACCUGUUGUGCACCCCGUAGCUUGUGCAUGCUGGAGAUCCGACAUGCUAACCCGUCCGGACGAGAAUGCGGUAAUCACUUUGAAAGCACCGCUGUUAUUCCUGUCCCAAGGUAAGUGGAUCCAAAGACAUCCAAUCUUUCUUUGGCAAAACAAACACAAAUAAAUCAAGUUCAAACACCGCUCAACAUCACACAUCCGCCCACACUAACCUAGAAUAUUGCACUUUUGGAAGUGACAUCCGAUCCAUCCAUAAACUCUUAAAGUGAACCAUCACAUGCAUCACUUCUGAGCUGAGACUGCAACUUUCUAAAAGACUUAGAAAGUUAGUAGAUGAGGUAUAUAACAUGCUUAACUGUUGACAGCUAAAAGGUUUGAGCAUUCCAUAUAGCAAGCAAAUAGCAUUAAGAAGGAUUAUGCAAGGGAAAUAAAAUACAAAUGGUUAAAAAUAACAAAUGGCACUCACAAAUUACUGCUGAGAUUUCCGCCCAUUACAUCCCUGUCCCCGCUGACCUCAGGUGUUUAAGGGCCCGCUACAUCCCUGUCCCCGCCGACCUCAGGUGUUUGAGGGCCCGCUACAUCCCUGUCCCCGCUGACCUCAGGUGUUUGAGGGCCCGCUACAUCCCUGUCCCCGCUGACCUCAGGUGUUUGAGGGCCCACUACAUCCCUGUCCCCGCUGACCUCAGGUGUUUGAGGGCCCGCUACAUCCCUGUGUCUCCACCGUGUAAAACCACAGGAUUUAAGCAACUGAGCAGGAAGGACCUACGACACAGCGACUGAGAGGAGUGACCUACGACAGAGCGACUGAGAGGAGUGACCUACGACACAGCGACUGAGAGGAGUGACCUACGACACAGCGACUGAGAGGAGUGACCUACGACACAGCGACUGAG
ensembl:lncRNA